AUUGAACGCUGGCGGCAUGCUUUACACAUGCAAGUCGAACGGCAGCGCGGGCUUCGGCCUGGCGGCGAGUGGCGAACGGGUGAGUAAUGCAUCGGAACGUGCCCAGUAGUGGGGGAUAGCCCGGCGAAAGCCGGAUUAAUACCGCAUACGACCUGCGGGUGAAAGCGGGGGACCGAAAGGCCUCGCGCUAUUGGAGCGGCCGAUGUCGGAUUAGCUAGUUGGUGGGGUAAAGGCUUACCAAGGCGACGAUCCGUAGCUGGUCUGAGAGGACGACCAGCCACACUGGGACUGAGACACGGCCCAGACUCCUACGGGAGGCAGCAGUGGGGAAUGUUGGACAAUGGGGGCAACCCUGAUCCAGCCAUGCCGCGUGCGGGAAGAAGGCCUUCGGGUUGUAAACCGCUUUUGUUCGGGAAGAAAUCCUCUGGGCUAAUACCCCGGGGGGAUGACGGUACCGGAAGAAUAAGCACCGGCUAACUACGUG
rnacentral:rRNA from 1 species